CCUACGGGUGGCAGCAGUAGGGAAUUUUCGGCAAUGGGGGGAACCCUGACCGAGCAACGCCGCGUGAACGAAGAAGUUAUUCGUAAUGUAAAGUUCUUUUAACAGGGAAGAAAGAGAAGUUUGACGGUAACUGAAGAAUAAGCUCCGGCAAACUACGUGCCAGCAGCCGCGGUAAUACGUAGGGAGCGUGCGUUAUCCGGAAUUAUUGGGCGAAAGGGGUGGGUAGAUGGCAUAGUAAGUCUUUUGUAAAAAUGCUGGGCUAAACCCAGUAGGGCAAAAGAGACUGGAAAGCUAGAGUAUGACAGAGGCAAGUGGAACUACAGGUGUAGCGGUAAAAUGCGUAAAUAUAUGGAAGAACACCAGUGGCGAAGGCGGCUUGCUGGGUCGAUACUGACAUUGAGGCACGAAAGCGUGGGGAGCAAACAGGAUUAGAUACCCGUGUAGUC
rnacentral:rRNA from 1 species